rnacentral:rRNA from 1 species
AUUGAACGCUGGCGGCAUGCCUUACACAUGCAAGUCGAACGGCAGCGGACCUUCGGGUGCCGGCGAGUGGCGAACGGGUGAGUAAUGCAUCGGAACGUACCUUUCAGUGGGGGAUAACGUAGCGAAAGUUACGCUAAUACCGCAUAUUCUGUGAGCAGGAAAGCAGGGGAUCGCAAGACCUUGCGCUGAUUGAGCGGCCGAUGUCAAAUUAGCUAGUUGGUGAGGUAGAGGCUCACCAAGGCGACGAUCUGUAGCGGGUCUGAGAGGAUGAUCAGCCUCAUUGGGACUGGAGUGCGUCCCAGACUUCUACGAGAGGCAGCAGUGGGGAAGUUUGGAAAAUGGGUGCAACCCGGAUCCAGCCAUGCCUCGUGAGUGAAGAAGGCCUUCGGGUUGUAAACUCCUGUCAGUGGGGAAAAAGGGGAACGGGCUCAUACCCCGUUUCAUUGAUUGUACCCGCAGAGGAAGCCCCGGCUAACUCUGUGCCAGCCGCCGCGGUAACAC